rnacentral:rRNA from 1 species
UACGUAGGGCGCAAGCGUUAUCCGGAAUUAUUGGGCGUAAAGAGCUCGUAGGCGGUUUGUCGCGUCUGCCGUGAAAGUCCGGGGCUCAACUCCGGAUCUGCGGUGGGUACGGGCAGACUAGAGUGAUGUAGGGGAGACUGGAAUUCCUAGUGUAGCGGUGAAAUGCGCAGAUAUCAGGAGGAACACCGAUGGCGAAGGCAGGUCUCUGGGCACUUACUGACGCUGAGGAGCGAAAGCGUGGGGAGCGAACAGG